ACGGAGGAUGCAAGCGUUAUCCGGAUUUAUUGGGUUUAAAGGGUGCGCAGCCGGGUUUUUAAGUCACUGGUGAAAUACUGCCGCUUAACGGUAGAAUUGCCAUUGAAACUAGGAAUCUUGAGUGUGGUUGAGGUAGGCGGAAUGUGUAGUGUAACGGUGAAAUGCAUAGAUAUUACACAGAACACCGAUUGCGGAGGCAGCUUACUAAGCCAUAACUGACGCUGAGGCACGAAAGCGUGGGGAGCGAACAGGAUUAGAUACCCUGGUAGUCCACGCUGUAAACGAUGUUCACUCGCUGUUUGCGAUACACAGUAAGCGGCUGAGCGAAAGCAUUAAGUGAACCACCUGGGGAGUACGAUCGCAAGGUUGAAACUCAAAGGAAUUGACGGGGGCCCGCACAAGCGGAGGAACAUGUGGUUUAAUUCGAUGAUACGCGAGGAACCUUACCUGGGCUUAAAUGUAGACUGCAUAGGAUGGAAACAUUCUUUCCCUUCGGGGCUGUUUACAAGGUGCUGCAUGGUUGUCGUCAGCUCGUGCCGUGAGGUGUCGGGUUAAGUCCCAUAACGAGCGCAACCCUUACCGUUAGUUGCCAACAGGUCAAGCUGGGGACUCUAGCGGGACUGCCACCGUAAGGUGAGAGGAAGGUGGGGAUGACGUCAAAUCAGCACGGCCCUUAUGUCCAGGGCUACACACGUGUUACAAUGGCCGGUACAGAGGGCAGCUACCACGCAAGUGGGUGCCAAUCCCGAAAGCCGGUCCCAGUUCGGAUUGGAGUCUGCAACCCGACUUCAUGAAGUUGGAUUCGCUAGUAAUCGCGCAUCAGCCAUGGCGCGGUGAUACGUUCCCGGGCCUUGUACACACCGCCCGUCAAACCAUGGGAGCUGGGGGUGCCUGAAGUCUGUGACCGUUAAGGAGCGGC
rnacentral:rRNA from 1 species